AAAUCAUGAUUAGAAGACUUCUGCAAAUAUUCCUUGAAUCUCUCCCAAGCUUCAAAUAAUUAUUCCCCGAAGUUAUUUGAAAUCAUAUAUCUUGUUAUGAAUCU